CUUGUCCUUUAAAGUAAUUUUCAUGCCUGGCCCAUACCUUUGUUUUCCUCUCAACAGAAAAAACUCCACUCUCCGGUGACGCAACAAGUCCGAAAUCUCCAUACUCGUCGUACCGCGUUGUCAACGGAAAUUCCGGCACCUAUGUUGCAACCUAUCUUAAUGUCGGUGUGGAGGGUUCCCAUUCGACGAUGCCGUUCCAACGCUUGUUUGGGUGUGAUGACGGUUUUUUAUGACUACACCAAUGGCCGACUAAGUUGCUAUCGGAGAUUAUGCAGAUCUAUUUUAGGUGGAUUCCAUGGAUUAUUUCUUCAUCUUCCUGGUUGCAACAUACAAGCGGCCUCCAUGAAAGAUUUUUUGUUUUUGUUUUUGGUGGAUCAGUUUUUUGUUUUUUGGAAAAGAGAGAAUAAGGGUGUGGGCCGGGCAUAAAAAUUACUUUAAAGGACAAGUGUUUAAUGACCUUUAGAAAAGAGAGAAGGGGUGUUUUUGUCCAAACCAAAUGGAUGUAGGAUGCUAAUGCACACCUUCUAAAAUCAAAGUGGGUGUGUAUUAGCAUUCCCAUAUAUAUAUUUACAAAAACAUUUUGCUUAAACAGAAAUAAAUCUUGAAAUUAAACUUGGAACUCUUUGUAAUACUUUUGGAGAAAAUCUUAUACUUAAC
rnacentral:lncRNA from 1 species